UUUUAGAGGAAGUGGAGGUUAAAUGAGGUCAUAUGGGUGGGACCCUAAUCCAGUAGGACUGGUGUCCUUAUUAGAAGAGGAAGAGACACCAGAGAUGUACAGGCACAGGAGAAAGGCCACGUGAAGAUGCAGUGAGAA